rnacentral:rRNA from 1 species
AUUGAACGCUGGCGGCAUGCCUUACACAUGCAAGUCGAACGGCAGCACGGGAGCAAUCCUGGUGGCGAGUGGCGAACGGGUGAGUAAUAUAUCGGAACGUGCCCAGUAGUGGGGGAUAGCCCGGCGAAAGCCGGAUUAAUACCGCAUACGACCUGUGGGUGAAAGCGGGGGAUCGCAAGACCUCGCGCUAUUGGAGCGGCCGAUAUCAGAUUAGCUAGUUGGUGGGGUAAAGGCCUACCAAGGCGGCGAUCUGUAGCUGGUCUGAGAGGACGACCAGCCACACUGGGACUGAGACACGGCCCAGACUCCUACGGGAGGCAGCAGUGGGGAAUUUUUGGACAAUGGGCGCAAGCCUGAUCCAGCCAUGCCGCGUGUGGGAAGAAGG